AAAUAUCUGCAACAAAAGCAAUAAUAUCGGAUGUUGGUAUUGGUACCAAUUUUCAUAUUGGUGCAUUCCUAACAAUCAAUAUGCUUUCUUUUUAGCAGCAAAGCAAAUAAUCAGGAUCUUUUUCUGUUAGAAAUGAGUAAUUAGAGUAAGCUAUAAUUUUGAAAAAACAUUUGUUAUUGCAGUAGUGCCAUUUUUUCCCAAGGUUAUCACACAAAGAGAAUUUCAUAGCAGAACAACCUAAAAUUAGCAUUUCCGAACCAACUAUGUUGUUUCUAAUUCAGGUGGCAAAGAAUCUGAAACUGUUUUAUUGGGACCAAAUUUAGUUAAACAUUUAAAUCAUGACUUUUGUUAUUUCUUUUUUAAAAGACAUCUGACAGCGUUUUACUUUUCAAGCCAGUAAUUUGGGAGCAGAGGCACAAGCUCAUGGAAGGUGGAGAUCAGGUAGGUUGUUCCCCAUGAGGUUACAGUUUUUUAAGGCCAGUAACACCUGUCUGCCCCUCAGGAGAGCCACAAAGCUGAAGAUGAGAAGGGAUGGCCAGAUGGAGGUGGAGAGAGGAAGGAUAGCAGGGGACGAGAGCAGAGCAGGCCAGGUCUCCAGGCACACGAGAAAGCACUUGCUAGUAACUGAAUGCAAUAAUAGAAUAAAAACUAGAGUAAAGAGGGCUUUAGGUUAGUUUCUGCUAUGCAAGUCACUCACAUAUACUUUUGUGUCCUUCUUUUGUGUGUGACUGGAGCAGCAGAAGAAGACAUCUCAAGCCUCUUCAGUGGUUUUUAAGAUGUGUGUUAUUAACGGGAUGAGGUCGCCUUAAGGCCACCGCAGAUGGAGUAAUACAACAGAGUGGUGAAUGCCUUGUCCCUGCAGUCACCCGCAGAGUGAAAGAACAGCGAACAGCAGGAGAGCGAGAAAAAAAUACAGAGCAAUAACAAAAAUAUAGAGAAAAAAACCCCACGAAGAUGGAAGAUGAAGAAAGAUGGCAAGACAGCGACAGAGCAAAAAAGAAAGUGUUAAAUUUCUCAGAAAACGUCAAGUCUUUUAGUUGAAAAUGGAAUGAAAAUUAUUAAAACAUAAAAAGACCAUUAAUAAGAGCUAAUUUGUUAGUUUGAUAGGUGUGAAAGUGCGUUAUAAGUGUAAUAAUCAAUCGAGUUAUGGCAGAUAUUUAUAUUUCAAUUAAUAAAAUAAGGAGCUCUAAGCAGAAUUCCCUUUGAUGCAAUUACUUGAUACAUAGCACCUUUAAGGGGCAUCGAAUACAGGAAUGAAGGCCAGCUGAAACAGAAGAAGACAACACUUGCAGUCAGGCUAAAAGUAGAUGGCCUCAUUCUGUGAUCAUAGAUGAAAAUGCCCAAAAAUGAAUUUAUAAUAUUAUGUGUUUAAUAUAAUGUGAACAGACCAUAAAGGAAUGCUUAUUUGUGAAUUCAGCAAAGAGAUGCAUCUUCUCUUAACUCUCUGUCUACUUCUGAAAACCCGGAGUUAAUGCCCACGAAGAACUUAAGUGAAAUAAAUGUUGAUGUGCUUGUAGAAAUAAUCAGCAACUCUGUAAAUGGCAUGCAGUAGUGGUUAUUGUUGGCACCAAUGCAAAAAGGAUGGCCUUAGGUUGUAGUUCACUUCCUGCUUUUGGAGCGGACUCUGUUUCGCUUAGCAUUCACAUAUCCAUUCAAACCGCGGUAGAGUUCACUUCAACAGAACCGAGACCUAGGUUUUUAGGCGAACUAGAGUUAAUUUUUUGGUCCAUAUCAGAGUUUGAUUGCGCAUUCAACACCUCCUCAAACAAACCGGACUUUCUAGACAAACAAACCAAAGUUCCAUUAAAGCAAACUAAACAGGGCUGGUGUGAAUGCACACUAAAUUACACACAGCUGAACUCCACUGGUUCUGUCUACUGGUUUACAAAACAAAUUUGCUUUAUAAACGAUUAUAGGGAGUAAUGAGAAAUACUGAGUAAUGUGGAAGAUAAGAACAACAGCAGCUUGAAGACAAAUAUUAUAAACUCUUCAGGCUUGAUGGCGUGUAGCUUAAAAAAUGGACUACACACACAUAAAGUAGACUAAGAGCAGUGCAGAAGGAGCCCAGCAAUGGAGUCUGGCUGUAUCAAGCAGAGGUCACCGAGUCGAGGAAGUCAAUUAAAAAGAUGAUUAACAUCCAUGUGGGAGGUGUGGUGUGUUCGUGCAGGUGGGAUGGGCCGAACACUCUCCUCUUUACACACACGCUCAUACAUAUAUUUAGAUACAUAAUGGGAGCAGUGAAUAGUGCAGUCCAGACUUUUGUAACUGGUGUCCAGGGAGGUGGAGAUCAGAAGGUUAAUAUGAUCCAGCCCAGCUCCUUCAUUAGCCUGAUGAAGGCAAUAACAGCCUACAGGGAGAGGAAGGCUGUCAGGUUGACGAAAACUAGCAACCUACACCCAGACUGCAAGGUUGUACUUUGUUAGCAGAGCACGCCUGUUUUUAUUAUCCGUUUAUUCACUAAAUGCAGCAAAAAUAGAUAUUUUGUGAGCUGUCACAUGAUAAAAAGUCCUGCAAAACCUAAUCCCCUGUAAAGAUAUGUGCAAGUUUCAGCAAGUCAAAUUUGAGACUUUUUAAUACCUUUUUAAUGCAACCUUGAACAAAAUGUAAGAUAGAAAAAUAUUAAUAUUACAAUCAAGAAUAGCAACAAAGAAAAUUUCUGGGGUCUGUUUGUAGAUUGACUCAGAAGUGAGCCAGUGGCGAAAAUGAAAGUUGUCCGGCUAACUGGCAAUAAAAGUGCACUUACCCAUAAUUGAGGCAAAAAAGAUAGCCAACUAGCUAUCAAAGCCUGCUUUUGCCAGACAGAAAAAUCUCGCGGGGGAAAAAUAAAACUACAUACAUGAGAUUGAAUGACUAAAUUUAAGUCCUGUGAUUAAGGUAUUUAAGGUGAAAUUAUUAUUUUUUUUAAUUAAUGAAAAAUAUUAAGACCUCUUAAGGUUGCGCAUACACCCCUGUUUAUAUAUAAUGACUGAAAGCAGGUACAUUUUACAGUUUAAAGACACAAAAACAUGAGUAAUUAAGCUAAUCAGGGAGGCUUACUGAUAAAUGUGAGCUUCUGAUCAUAAAUACAGGUGGAUCUCAUGCAUGGAUGAAAACACAAGGCGGCAAAGUAGAUUAAGAGCAAAUAAGAAGAGAAUGGUAGUGAUAGGUAGGCCUAAUAGACAAUAAACAUCAUUAAUUGGCGAAGCACACAUGGAUGGGUGCAGCCAGAUGGUGUUUUGUACUCAUUUGUCAUACACUGCUGACGGAGAGGGAAAGGCGGUGAGAGCGGGAGCUCGAAGAGGAGGAACAAAAAGGAACAUUUACGGAUUGUGGAGUCGGAACACGGUGGCCUAGAACACACUUCCACUGCUUAAAUGAAGUUCUGCAUCAUCCUCCCUGCCUGCCUCUCCAGACGGAGCGGUUCUGAUGGCGCCGCCAUGCCGCACUCUGCCAAGCCGGAUACAUACUGGUGGAGGACGGCAGCGAGAAGAAACAAGAAAGGGACUGAUGGAGGGCAAGAGGGGUGGGGAACUUAAGGAUCCAAAGCUCCGUUAAGAAAUACACCGUCUUAGUGUAUAAUACCUGCACUACAACCCCUUUAAAAAGGGGUUAAAAAUAGAUCUUAAGAAAAUUGUGACAGGAAAAUGGAGUGGAAUGUGAGUGGAGAAGGAGGGGGGGAAUGAGAGCAGCGUGUUGGGCUCAGGAGGCAGGACUGGGUUUCCACAAAUGGAGAUUAGUGCUCCAGGCCACUGUCUGGCCAGGCUGCUAGCAUGCUCACUUUGUUCUCGGCAAUGACAGCUUCAGUCGGAGUGGGGUUGGGGGGUGUACAUGGUCCACCAUGUUCACAGUGGCUCUUUGCUUUCUGUGGGCCGUUUCCCUUCCAGCUCUUUCUAACGUUUUGUUCGUCUAUAUGGGGUUGAGCUCAGAGACUGAAAUUGACCAAGUUUUUAUCUGGUUUAAGAGGACAGCUUGAGACAACAAACUGACACUGAACAAGAGUGUAAACUCUUUAAGCAGCAGACUUCUCGCUCUACAGCAACAACUUGAUCUCUCAGAAAACAUGGGGUGCGAUACUGAGGGCUUGUUUUCAACACUAGCUCCACAUUUACAAACAAGAUUUAGGAUUAACUCUUCUUAGGAUUUACAGGAUCAAUCAAAAUGGGAAGUAGAGAAAUUCAAGACAUUAUUUUGAAGAUUAGCAGCUUUCCUCCAGAGAAAUGUGGUCAAAUCUCUUUUGGGAAUUCAAAUGACUGGCAUAUUGAUGUUUGGUUCAGGAAGACAACAAAAUUAUAGCCUUCAAUUUUUUUCGCCCAACAACUUAUAACAGAUAUGGACCACUCCGGCCUUAAGAUUAACAACAGUUCUGAAACAAUAACAAUCAAUCAUGUCAUUCCUAAAACUCAAAGUGAUCAGACUUCUCUGUAUCUAUUUAUCAUAGACUAGGACAUGUGCACUGCUGGUCAGCUGGCUUUUAAAAAACCAAAAAACAAGACAGACUCAAACUUUUCCAAUCCUUACAAGACUCUCUGAACUUCUAGGAAAUAUUUCUGGCCAUGUAUAAGAAUCGCAAUUCCUAAUCCUGGCAAUCCUGAAUCUAUUUUAAGCUCAAAAAUCUAUUUUAGUCUGCCUAUUUUUUAUAUA